rnacentral:lncRNA from 1 species
GCAACCUCAUCAUGCUGUUGAUUCUGAACCAGUGGGAAAACAGUGCACUUAAUAGGUGCCACAAGAGGGGGGAAACGGAAAACAUUUAACUGUUCAUCCCCAGCUUUACUUGGCCUAGUAUAGAAAGAGUGCUCAUAGAGGCAGUAUAUAAUCCGACCAAUGCCAAAAGAUGGCUCUAUAACUAAUGGGAUGAAAACUCUCUGGUGUUCUUUCUUUUUCUCCUUAGAAAUUAACAACAUGUUCUUCUAAAUGCAAACAUUUUUUCCCAGAGUGCAGACAUAAAACUCCACCUCCCCUUUCGAUUCCAAUGCGGCCUUCAUCUCCAUAGCUUCUUUCUCAUUCAUAGCCUAAUGGGAAAGGAACUUAUAAUCUAUGUACUGGCAGCACUUCCUAAACUUACAGCAUCAACAACAGAAAGACUAUUUUAUACUUACCUCCAAAGCUUCAACCACAUUCUUUUGGCUUCCCUUGAAUGCAAGACCCAACUCUUUCUUCACUGGAGCAAUUACCAAUUUCUGGAAAACGUUGCAAGCAAUCAUAUUUCUCACACCCCACAUGAAAAAGAAAUGCUUAGCACGCAUGUUAUACUUCAUAUAAUUAAUAACAAGCAACAAGAAGUGUAAUAAGCACAAAAAAACAUACCUCCACUUCCCUAGUUUCUGAAAAUUUCUCCUGACCUACAAGCGCAACACCACUCUUUUCCUGUUUUGCGAACGAGGGCGGAAAAAAUUCAAUUAGUUCGAAGCACAACAAUGUUCAGACAGCAAAAAAGAUAUACCACAACUUAUGUUGUGAAUUUGUUAUGCUUCUAGCACUUAUAAAUGUCUCCUUAAAAUAGUAGCUGAUGUGAAAAUGACUUUACAAUUAUCUAGUCUAGGAAUAUUUUUAUAAAACUUAUCCAGAAAAUGUAUAUCAAUCUAUUACUGUGUGAGCAUGCAGGUCAUACGUAGAUCUAUCUGCAAUACCAACACAUUCAAUCCACCCAUGCGAACACUCAAUCUCAGCAUCCCAACAGUUUGCCGCAUAAUGAGCCAUUUCAUUUGCAAGAUGCUGCCGGAACCGCAAACGCUCUUUAUCUAUACCAAGGCAUGCUAGAAAGAGAUAUACUCGUCCAAUGAAAUAGCCAAGAGUUUCAUUGUUUACUAUUCCCUGAACAACAAUGGAGAGAAUACAAGAAGAGCACGUGAAGUGGUACAGAGGCCAAAAAUGUGAUUGGACAAGAAAUGGUAAAAUUAAAAACAAUUUUAAACCAACCUUUAAAACAGCUUCACCUAGUGGAAUCCUCAUUUUAGAUUUACUAUUACAUGUUCUAUAUUUUUCCAGUUAAUUUAUUGAGUGCUGCUAUUCACCCCGAUUUUUCCCGAAACGCGCCCCGAAUUUAAAACGAACCGUUUUGAUAAAAUUGAAAACGGUGCGUUUAACCCAUGUUUCUUCAUUUCCUUUCUUUUGCAGUUUUGCCAAACCACAGAAACGGACCUUUGCUUCCUUUUCGUUUAAUCCUAUCAUCUUGUGGUCACUGCCGCUGCUGCUUCCUUCAAGACCGAGCUCUCUGCCGCUGCUGCUUCAAAGCCGUCCGAUCAAUCGACGAUCCGACACCGGGGCCCAUCAACUGGCGCGUCUGCCUCAGCUUCUUCUUCGUCCUCUCCGGCGUACAUGGAAGAGCAAAUCGCGAUCGUGAGACAGAUUAAGAAAACGAAAGAUUAUUACGUGCGUUGAUUCAGUUACGUGCGUUGAUGGCUCUGAUGGGUUUAAUUUACGUGUGUUGAUUCAGUUGUUGCCUGUGAUUUUGAUAAUUCUCUUGCAAUUUUUGCCGUCUUCUGAUCCAAUUUAUGCCUUGUCGAGGUCUUACCCUUAUGAGUACAAGUUUACAACGGAAAGAGGGGUGAACUUUUAUGUGAAGUCUAGCAAAUUUGAGCAGGACUAUCCGCUGGGUAGUGUUCAGAGAGUAAGGCUGGAAAAGCAAGUUGAAAAGGAUUACUUUACUAUUCUUGCACAAAAUUGCCGGUUAGAGAUUCAGCCGCAGCAGUGGGGUUUUAUAAAGGAGACUCCCCAUUGUGACAUGUGGCAGAAGUUUCAGUAUUCACCAGCUUGGUAAAUCUGACAAUAAUUCUGUAGUAAUCUGCAUAAAGGUUGCUUGAUUGUGCUACUAUGAUAUUCAUUAUUCAGAUAGGAGUAGCAACCGUGUUACUGAAAUCUGGUUCAAUGAAACAAGCUGAAGCAAAACUGAAGUAAUUUUCUCCCACAUUCAAUUAAUGCAUCUUCAAAUCUUUCAUAAAGUUGAUUCUCUCCUCAGUCUGCAAAGCGGAGUGUUGUGGUUCACGCUUGCGCAAAUAGAAGAAGAAAGAAAAUGUUCACGUGCUGCACAUGUGGAACUAAAUGGGAAAGCAAUCAAAGCAAAAAAGCAAAAAAGCAAAAAAGCAAAGAAGCAAUCAACGCAAAAGGAAAACAGUCAAAGCAAAACGCACCGUUUUGACAAUAUUCGGGGCUCGGUUUCGAGGUUUAAAAUCGGGGUAAGUAGCUUUUUCCUUUAUUUUAUUUGUUUCUUUUAUUGUUUGAAUAAGUCAAGUUAGCUGUUAGAGUCCAAGCUAGUUUGUUAGCUAUUUUGCUGACACAUGCCUAUAGUCUUGGGAGGAUAGUUGUAAUCUUUUUUUAUUUAAAUUCCAACAAUAAACAAUAGGAGGUAGACUCUCUGAAUUUGAAAACACCGACAUUAUUUUUGGAGGGACAAGCUCCCUUAAAUGAUCCUGAUAUAUUCAACAACUUUCACUUCAAUAUUUUCACAAUAGGCAGAGGAAAGAGAAUAGAAACUAGCUCGUAUAUACAAUUUACUUGACAUCUGUUCCUCCCUUGGGAACAUCAAGAACUCCAAGUUCGCGACUUCUGAGAAUUUUGGGUGAGAUUUGUCUUGAGGAGCAACAAAGUGCUCAAUUUCUGCAAGUGUGAAUUCACGAACUCUAAUAAGGCCUUGGCAAGGUGAUAUCUGUACAUGUCAAAAGAUUUUAAUAAACUUAUAUGCUCUCUCUGAUUCACACUGCCAAAUGCACACAAACACAGAGAAAUGUACAUUUUGCAUAAAAAUCUCAAAAACCAAGAAAAAAUAGCAGUAAUAGUUGAAACUACAUGCAAUUUUAAUCCAUUAAACACUAUCAAAUUCCGUUUAAUACAGCCAUUUCCAAAAAGACCCAAAAAAAAUUAUGCACCCCCCCCCCCCAGCCAAAAAAAGAAAAAAGCACAAGAUGUAAACCUAAGAGAAUUAUUAUAAACCUCAUUCCUAAAAGUCUGGCCAAUCUGGGCACCAGCAAAAGGGAGUUUGUUUCCAUUGUAAAAACACAACUCUUUAAAAUUCACAAAUAUGCCUUGUGCUGUUUCACGGCGCAUAUAACUACACAGAGAAGGGAAUUAUCACUUAAUAGGUAAAUAUGUAACACUGCACGUGGUGGAAAACUAAAAUUAAUAAAAAGCAUAGUUUUGAAGUACUUGAAUUACUGAAAGUCCUUCACAACUAUUUCAUGCAAAUCAUCCGGUGAAUUUACUACGGUCUAAACAUAAAUAGAGUGUCCAAUUUUAUGUAUUAAUUUUAAAUUUAAUUUAUUUAAUCAUAAGAUAAUUUAUAUUUAUAUCUAUUGUGAAUCCAUAUGAUAAUCACAAAAAUACAUAUAAUAUGAUUAAAUGGACCUUAUUCAAAAUAUUUAUAUAAUUAAGAUUUUUGAAAAAUAUCUCAAAUAUUUUAUUAAUAAGAAAAUAAAUAAAUCAAUAUGCUUUAAAGAGCACAUAAUCCCAACAAUCUCUCACUAGCUCUCAAAGCAUAUGUGGCAACACACGCAUGUCCAUACAUUCUAAGUGUAAGUUAAAAAGUUUCCCAAGUAUUGCCUUUAUAAAAGGAUCUACUAGGUUUUGUUAUGAGGCAAUCUUGGUAACUUCUACAUCACCUCUCUGCACUAUUUCUCUUAUGAGAUGGUAUUUCCUUUCUAUAUGUUUUUGCUUCUUGUGGUUUCUUAGUUCCUUUGACUGAGCCAUUACACCGCUAUUAUCACAAAAUAGUUUAAGAGGUGCAGUUAGUGCAGGUACCACCUCAAGAUCUUGCAGGAACUUACAGAGCCAAACAACUUCUUAGCAGCUUCAAAUGCAACCACUUAUUCAGCAUUUGUAGUGGAGUUUGCGAUACAACUUUGUUUCACACUCCUCCAACUCACAGGUCCACUUCCUAAUGUAAACACGUAACCGGAAAGUUAAUUUUCUGACAUCUUUAUCUGAUAUGAUGUCAGAAUCAAUGUAACCCACUAGAAUGAGAUCAUCACUAGAAUACACAAGUAUAUGAUUCUUAGUUCUUUUCAGAUAUUUAAUUAUAUGCUUGACUGCAGUCCAGUGCUCAGGAUAAUGAUUAGAUUGUUAUCUACAGACCAUCUCUACUGUAAAACAAAUGUCUAAUCUAGUACAUAGCAUGACAUACACGAGACUUCCCACAGCUUGUGCAUAGGGAACUUGCCUCAUUUUUCUCUUUCCUUAGGUGCCUUGGGCAACUGAUCUUUGGAGAAUGUAAUUCUAUGCCUGAAUAGUAACAAACCAAUAUUAGAAUUUUCCAUGCCAAAUCUAGCUAGUAUUUUAUCAAUGUAAGCAGUUUGCGAUAAGGCGUUUUAUUCUUCCGAUCUCAAAGCAAUUUGAUCCUAAGAAUAUAACUUGCCUCUCUUAAGUCUUUCAUAUCAAAUUGUUUAGCCAACCAAUUCUUUAUUGAUGAUAAUACUCCGAUAUCGUUUUCAAUUUUUCCCUGAAUUUUUUUGUAUACACAUGGCUCAUCAAUAUUUUGUAUAAAUCCAAACGUUUUAAUUGUUUGAUCAAAUCUGAUGUUUUAUGAACGAGAUGCUUGCUUUAAUCCAUAAAUAGAUUUUUACAACUUACAUACCAUAUGUUCUUGGCCUUUUUUAAUGGACCCAUCUGGUUGCUGCAUAUAGAUGUCUUCUUCAAGAUACCCGUUAAGAAACGUAAUUUUGACAUUCAUUUGCCAAAUUUCAUAUUACAACACUGUAGCAAUAGAAAGCAGAAUCCUAAUGGAUUUAAGCAUAGCAACCGGUGAAAAUGUUUCAUCACAAUCGAUUCCUUCUUUCUGAGUAUACCCUUUGGUUAUUAAUCUUACUUUAAAUGUUUCCACCCUUCCAUCUACUCCCUAUUUUUCUCUUGUAAAUCCACUUACACCCUAUAAGUUUUACCCUAUUUGGUGCCUUUACAAGUUCUCAAACUUUAUUGGAAUACAUAAAUUCAAUUUCUUAAUUUACAACAUUUUUCCAUAGUUCAGUAUCUCCAUCUAAUAGAACUUUAUUGUAACUAGUGGGAUCAUGUACUUGUCCAUCUGAGAUAGAUGUAAAAGUUUCUCCUAGUAACAUGUAUCGUGCUGGUAAUUUAAUUACCCUCCCACUACGACGAGGUUCUAUGGGUGGUUGUUGUUCAAGGGUAAUAUUAUAAUGGUCAUAUUGUUGCUUUUCUUCCUGUUGAUUAACAGGUACCGAAAUAUGAGCAUCAACAUGAUCUCUUGAUAACACUUCCAGUAUUGCCUUACUCUUAGGUUUGAAGUUAUUCAUAUAAUCUUCCUUAAUAGAAGUAAAAUGUGUACUAAUAAUUACUUUUAUGUCUUGAUGAUUAUAAAAUAAACAUCUCUGUAUUCCUUUGGGAUACCCAACAAACAUACAAACCUCAAAACGUGAAUCUCUUUUGUCGGCCUUUGGUUUUAGCACAUGUGCUGGUGAACCCUAAAUAUGGAUAUGUUUCAAACUUGGUUUGCAACCUGAUCAUAAUUCUAUUGGGGUUCUAGGCAUUGACUUAGAUGGAAUUAAGUUUAAUAUGUAUGUCGCUAUUUCUAGCGUUAGUUCCCAAAAUGAGAUGGGUAAUAUAGAAUAACUAAGCAUAAAUCUCACCAUAUCCAAAAGAGUUCUAUUUUUUCUUUCAGCUACACUAUUUUAUUGUGGUGUUCCUGGAGUUGUUAGUUGAGAUAUAAUCUCAUUUUCAACCAGAUACUCUUUCAAUUCUCCUGAGAGAUAUUCAUCCCCUCGAUCAAAUCGAAGUCUUUUUAUGUUCUUACCUAAUUAUUUUUCUGGCUCAGUCCUGUGCUCUUUGAAUUUUUCAAGAGCUUCAGACUUAUGACGUAUUAGAUAAACAUAACUAUAUCUUAAAUAAUCAUCAGUGAAUGUGAUGAAAUACUCGUAACCUCUUCAAGCUUGUACAUUGAUUGGUUCACAUACAUCUGUAUGUACCAAUUCAAGUAGUACUGUUGCACGUAUUCCUUUAACCGAGAAAGGCGUUUUGGUCAUUUUUUCUUCUAAACAAGAUUCACAGAGUGGCAAUGAUUCAUUUUCCAAUGGACCUAAAAGUCCAUUUUUGAUCAUUCUCUAUAUCAUAUUCAGGUUUUUAUGACCCAAACGCAAAUGCCUGAGGUAACAUUGGUUAGAAGAAAUCUUUCUUUUCUUAGAUAAGUGCAUAUGCUCAUUAUUUUCAAUUAAUGUGGCAUGCAUAUAAUAGAUUAAAUGACUUAAAUGAUAUAAAUUAUCUUCCAAUGUACCAGAACUUAUUAGUCUAUUAUUUUUCAAAAUAGAAAUAGAGGAACUAAAAUUUAUAGUGUACCCUUAUUUUGACAAACAAGCUACUAAAAUUAAAUUCCUCUUAAUGUCUGAAACAUAAAGAUAAUUAUUCAAAACUGAAGUCUCAUUAAUAAAAGAUAAUAAAACAGAUCCAGUCUUCACUGCUGACACGAAUUGGUAUGUCCCUAACUGUAGUUUAAUGCUUUUUUCACUUAGUUUCCUAGUUUCCUGAAACCAAAAAAAUGAAUUACAAAUAUAAUUAGUUGUUCCAGAAUCCAAGACCCAACUGUCAACAAGAUUAUGAACUAAGUAAGUCUCUAUGACUAAAAGAUUUUCCAUACAUGAUUUUACAAUCUUAGGACAAUCGUUUUUCUAGUGACCCUUUUGUCCACACUUGAAGCACUUGCCUUUUGGCUUGCCAUCUUUCUUAGUAAACGGUUUCUUUUUCUCAACUUUAUUCCUUUUGCCUUUUGGCUUAGGCUUAAAAGAAGUACAUUUUUUUUUAGUAAGGUUAAUGCUUCCUUGAGAUUUUUCAACAAGAUAAAUCUCUUCAGUUGAAUGAAGUUCUUUCAUCAAUUCUAUUAAAGUCAUAUUUCUUUUAUUCAUAUUAUAAUUGACCUUAAACUCCUUGAAUGUUUUAGGCAGAUAUUCUAGCACCAUGUCAAUCUUUAAAUUAUCAUCGAUCUGUGCACCCUUAAUCUCAGCCUCAUUCAAAUGAUUCAUUAUUUUCAGGAUAUGAUCACGAACUCUUGUACUCUUUCCCAUCUUGGAGUUCAUAAUACCUUUUAGCGUUGCUUGUCUCGCAAAGCGAGUGCUCUGCCCUAACAUCUCUCGAAGACUCUCCAUUAUUUCAAUGGCUAUUUCCAUGUUCUGAUGUUUGGUUUGCAGAAUAUUAGAAAUAGAGGGUAAAAUGUAGCAUUUUGCCAUUUCAUUAGUUUUUUGCCAUUUUUCAUAAAGCCUCCUCUGAUUUCUACUAGCGUCCUCUGCUGGUUCAGGAGGACAUGGUUGGGUUAAGACAUAUUUAUAAUUUUCAGCAGUUAGGACUAUAAAUAGAUUUCGUUUCCAAUCUAUGUAGUUCUCGUUAAUGAGUUUGUUUUGACUCAGAAUAAUGGUGAGUAGGCUUAGGGAAGACAUUUUCUGAAAAAUAAAAUAGACAUGUAUAAACACUUUGAAACAAAUAAUGUUCACAAUAAAUAAUCUAAAAUGCAAAAAAACAAAGUAUUUUAUUUUAUUGUAACAAUAAUUUAGUACUGCUUUGGCAAGCUAUUCGUUAGGAAAGUCAUGCCUACACUUACUAGACUCAAUUAACCAUUAGAUUAUUUACUUUCAUGUCGAAACAUGAUAAAUAAUUAUCGUUAUCUUUUAGGGCCAAAAUUUGUUAACAGAGCUUUGUUGGGAAGGCUAACAAAUUUUUGUUGAGUGUAUAACCAUUUUUUUAAUCUACGUAUCUUUCAUAUCAUGUAGCCACUGUUAGGGUGAUCACUAGAUUCAAUCUCAUCGAUAAAGAAGUUCAUUAAAUAAAAUGUCUAAUAUAUAUACUCUCUGUAGGGAAUAACAAUGUAUCAUGAAGUUGAGGUAUAUAUAUAAUUUAAUUAUUGAACUAACAAGGGAGCCCGUGAGAAAAAUAAUCUUAAAUUUUCCCUCUCCCACUCAAUACUUUAAAGUUAGUUUUUCCUUUCAGACAAGUACAGAUUAUAUCUUAUAUUAUUAAUUGGAUGCUUCCUAAAAUAAUAUUAUCUAGAACAAAUCUAAUAUUAUUAAGCACAUGCAAAUGUCAAACAAUAUAUAUAUCUAGAUUCAUAAUCUAUAGAUGCCAUGUAUUUUAUGAUACCAGUAUUAUGAUGCAUAAAGUGAUACUUCCUAUUUUAUAUGACAUGUUAUCAUGACAUAUUAUUAACCAUAUAGAUAAAAAUAAUUAAACAAUCUCAAUUCAUGAUUUUCCUAAGAAAAAAUCGACUUAAUCUAUAAGCCUAAUAUCUAUUGGGUUUCAAGUCAACGUCCCUCUUUCUUCUUUCCUUUCCUUGUAUUGCUCUUAUCCAUAUAACUAUUGGCUUGGGGACUAUGGGGCUUUUAAAAUUUAUGCGUGGUUCAAUUUUUAAAUUUAAAUUUGGACACAUAAAUAAAAAUUCUAUUGGGUCUUAUUUUUUUAAUAUAUAUAUAUAUAGAUCCAAUUAGUUUAAUAAAAUAAGCCCAAAUUUAUCUUCAAAAAUUCUUAAGCCAAAUAAAUUUUAUUAUGGAUCUACCAAAUUUUCAUUUCAAUUUUGAAAUCUCUUAAAUGGGCUUGGGACCAAUAUAAAUAAAUUUGGACAAAUAAUAACUAUUGGGCUUAUCAAAAUUCUAUGUAUAUUAUCCAAUUGAUAGCCAAUAAUGGACUUGGAUCCAAUAUAAAUAAAUUUGAAUUUUUCUGCCCAAAACCAAAAACACUUAGGCUACCGUAAAAUAAUGAAACUAUAGGGUGCCAUGGGGUAUAAACCAAAAACCCUAAAUAACUUAUUUUUCUUCCAGCCGCUAGCAGCAUAUACUGUUGGACUUAAAUCCAACAGUAUAAAUUGGUGAGACAAUAGGGUGCCUAAUGAGAAAAUCCAAACGAAAUUGAAACUAAUAUGUAAAAUCAAUUUUCAAUAUGAAUUUUAAAAAAUUACUCAUCCCUUUUUAAAAUCUUUUGUAGGAUAAUGUAAUUUUAAUAAUAGUGAUUUAAAAAAAUUACUAUAAUACUAAAAAUUAAUUUUUAAUUUUUCAAAAUCACUUUUGAAUCUCUUAAAAACAAUUUUGAGUGGCCCCCAAAUAAUUGAAAUUAAUAUAUAUAAAGUUGUCUUUACAAUUAGGGAUGACAAUAGGGUGAAAUGACGUGAGGGGGAGGAGCCCUACCCCAUUCCCCACCCUUCUAAAAAUUUCGUUCCCAUUCUCCACCUCAUUUCCCAAAAAAUUUAUUGGGGUACGAAUAGAAAAUCCUCAUGUAAGAAAUGAUUUCCCUAUUUCCGCCUCAUUCCUCGUUUAUUUAUUUAUUUUAUAGUAGAAACAGGUACAUAAUUUCAAUACUAAAAUUUAAAAACUUAAAUAAAAUCAUAAUCAUAUUAUAAAGUAUUUAAAUUAUUAAAAAUAUCUUCAAAAGUUUGAAACAAUAUUUUAAAAUGAUAUUAAAAUAGUAAAAUAUUUAAAGAGAACAACACUUUAAAAAAGAAAGGAAACAUAAUAAUACUAUUUUUAUAUUAGGUAAAAAUAAAACAUUUAUUAACCAACAUUAUAAUUAACAAAAUAAAAAAUAUUUAUAUAAUAGGAAUUGGUGUGGUAAAUAUAAAACCAAAUCUCACCCUAUUGACGUCAGAAUUAUUUUUUCUUUAUUUCUCACUCCAUUUCCUAAAGAUUAUUUAAAAUUUAUCACAUUUGAAAUGGAUCCCUAAGACCUCAAACCCAUGGAAGAUCAAAUAAUAUAAUUUAAUUAAGUCUGACCAUUAUUACCAAGAUUAUCAAAUUUCAGAAAACAAUAUUCUUUACAUAGAAGUACAGAAGGGUCGUUAGAAGUAAAAACUUACAACUAAUCUACUCUUUGCUAAAAUGCUAGGGUAAAAACUUACAACUAAUCUACUCUUUGCUAAAAUGCUACGGCAAAAACUGGCAAUUGCAAAAACAUGACACAAAUGAAGACAACAUAAACAGAACAGCGGAAGAUUGAUUCUGUGCCGAGAGGGGCAAAAGAAAGUGUUAACAUAGCUGGUGAGAUCAUGAAUCUUUGGAUUUGGCUUUAAUAUAAGGAUUCGGCUUUAAUAUAUUGAGUCCUGUACUCAAACAUCAAAAAGGUUCCUAAAUUUUUUGUUACAGAAAUAAAAGUUGAAUUGAGAUUUUCUUCUUUUUUUUUCCUAACCCAAAAUGUGUCAUCAAGAAAGAUCAUAGUAGGAUACACUAAUCCCAAUGGUGGGAGUUAUACAGUUUAGUCAUCCGCUGACUCAGAGGAGUGAUGUGGGUAACUUGACCACACAUCUUCCCACUUCGUUUGUCCAUCGGUUACAGCCUUUAUAACUGAUGCUGCCUCAUCCAGGCUGACACGGAUUUGAUCCUUGCUAUCUCGCUCUCGGAUUGUCACCGAGGAUGUUGAAUCAACAGUUAUAGCAAACGGUACACCAAGUUCAUCUGUUCUUGCAUACCGUUUCCCUAUGGAGGUGCCUGCACAUAUUAGUACACAAUAACAGUAACGUCAGAUGUUCAUGGACCCAAAAAAAUGUACUAGAAUAUUAAUAGAACAAAAAGCAUGGAGUUAUUAUAUAAUAUUCAGAGAUGAUUUAACCAUGAGGAAAAAAGAUGGAAAUAACCCCCUCAUUUGGACUUUGGAACACAAAUAACCAUAACGUACACCGAGAAAUAUUUACAUCCAAGAACAUCUUCCUGGAACAUAUGGGUUACCAUAUACACAUAUGCAAUUUUCUCUAUGAUUUUCAAGAAAUCUACGGCAUAAAUGUAUAACAAUAUCAGUCCAAGGUGCCUUUUUGGUUGCCUUAGCAAUGAAAGACAGCAUCCACACCAGCAAGUAGUUAAAUCUCUUCAAAAGGAUAAGCGGCUUCCAGAUUUGUAUACCAAAAUUUGAACUCAUACCAGUCAGUCACCCAGCCCAGCGGUAAACAAGUCUAGAUAAUCUUAAAUGGCUGAAUUCUUAUUUAUAAAUACAUCGUAGACAACCAUGCAUAUAUGCAAUCAUGCAAGUCAGGAAGGAAAAUGGCCCCAGGGGCCUGUCACUGUCCCUAAUUUGGCAAAGAAUCCCCAUCCCACCACAUACCCAUCUCUGAAUUGAGAUGUUUGAGUAUAGUCAUUUUGAUCAACUAGCUGGCCUAAAUAUCGGGCUCUCUCAAAACGAAAUUGAUGAAAAUCAGGAGUCAUCAGAGUAUUAAUAUUUCACAGUUUCUAAGUGAUGAGCUCAAAUCAACUAAUACAUGUUUGUUUAGUCAGAACUUUUCUGAGGAAUAUUUUAUUAAUCGAUAAAAAGGUUGCCAGAAACUUUAACCAUGAAAGACUAUUUAUCCAGAGCACAAACCUGUUAUGUCAAUCUUGUGAGAGAUUCCAGCAACUUUUAAUAACUUGGAAAUGACUUUGGCAACCUCCUCAUACUGUUGAUUCUGAACCAGUGGGAAAACAGUGCACUUAAUAGGUGCCACAAGAGGGGGAAACGGAAAACAUUUAACUGUUCAUCCCCAGCUUUACUUGGCCUUGUAUAGAAAGAGUGCUCAUAGAGGCAGUAUAUAAUUCGACCAAUGCCAAAAGAUGGCUCUAUAACUGAUGGGGUGAAAACUCUCU